AUUGAACGCUCGCGGUAUGCUUUACACAUGCAAGUCGAACGGCAGCGCGGUCAUCGGUCUCUCGGCGAGUGGGGAACGGGCGGGUGAUGGAUCGGAACGUGCCCAGUAACUGGGGCUAACUACGCUAAGUCGUGGCUCAUACCCCAUACGCCCUACGGGGCUACGGAGGGGAGCGUAAGACCUUGGAAUAUUGCCGCGGCCGAUGUCGGAUUAGCUAGUUGGUGAGGUAACGGCUCACCAAGGCGACGAUCCGUAGCUGGUUUGAGAGGACGACCAGCCACACUGGGACUGAGACACGGCCCAGACUCCUACGGGAGGCAGCAGUGGGGAAUUUUGGACAAUGGGGGCAAGCCUGAUCCAGCCAUCCCGCGUGGGCGAUGAAGGCCUUCGGGUUGUAAAGCCCUUUUGGCAGGAAAGAAACGUCGCGGGCUAAUACCCCGUGGAACUGACGGUACCUGCAGAAUAAGCACCGGCUAACUACGUG
rnacentral:rRNA from 1 species